rnacentral:tRNA from 1 species
AAGGGUAUAACUCAGUAGUAGAGUGUGUUCUUGGCAUGUCCAUGAUCUUGGGUUUAAUCCCCAGUACCUCCA